rnacentral:lncRNA from 1 species
UUAUUUAUUCCCAAAACACUAUUGAGCUCUAAUUCUUUUCCCAAACCUCCUGCCAUUGAAGCCUCCAAACUCCCUAAAUCCAAAUCCGUGACAAUAUCCCCCGCCGAAGCAAAUCCUUGCCGACAAGGAUCAAAGGUAGAAAAUUUGCGGCGGAUAAAGGCGACAUCUUCCCAAGUAGCAAGGGAUGGCUCCUGGUUCACCCACUGCACUAAGAUCUGAGGAACUGUCAAACCAUUCCGAGUGACUGUACGAG